rnacentral:rRNA from 1 species
AAACUUCGCAAGGCCAGAGGCCGUCGCCGGUUAUCCCGCGUCAAGAAACCAAAGUGGUUUCCAAGCAUUGUUGAAAGGUAUCUUAUCCUGAAUUCCCUAGGGAUAAGAAGCGAACGCAGGGAACUGAAACAUCUAAGUACCUGCAGGAAAGGACAUCAACCGAGACUCCCCUCGUAGUGGCGAGCGAACGCCGACCAGGCCAGUGGCAAGGAGGAAUAAAGUGGAACGACUUGGAAAGGUCGGCCGAAGCGGGGGAUACCCCCCCACACAAAAAACACGUUUUUUACUUGAGUGGGGCACGACAAAUCUGUUCCAACCUGAGGAGUGCUUCACACACGAU